rnacentral:rRNA from 1 species
AUUGAACGCUGGCGGCAUGGUUAAAGCAUGCAAGUCGAACGCGAACCACCUUCGGGUGGGGAAAGUGGCGAAAGGGCGAGGAAUACGAUCGAAUGUGCCCCGAGGUGGGGGAGUAGCGUCGAGAAAUCGGCGGUAAUACCCCAUGUGCUCUACGGAGGAAAGGUUUACCGCCUUGGGAGCAGCGAUCGUCCUAUCAGGUAGUUGGUGGGGUAAUGGCCUACCAAGCCGAAGACGGGUAGCGGGUGUGAGAGCAUGACCCGCCGCAUCGGAACUGAGACACUGUCCGGACUCCUACGGGAGGCUGCAGCGACGAAUAUUCCGCAAUGGGCGAAAGCCUGACGGAGCAAUGCCGCGUGUGGGAUGAAGCGCC